GAUGAACGCUGACAGAAUGCUUAACGCAUGCAAGUCGAUGGGGAAGUGGUGCUUGCACCAUGGUAACCAUGGCGGACGGGUGAGUAACACGUAAGGAACUUACCUGCGGGACCGGGAUAACAGCAGGAAACUGCUGACAAGACCGGAUAAGGUCAUUAAGCUGCAUAGCUUAGUGAUGAAAGGAGACGCCUGCGGAGAGCCUUGCGUCCUAUUAGCUAGUUGGAGGGGUAACGGCCCACCAAGGCGAAGAUAGGUAGCCGGCCUGAGAGGGUGGACGGCCACAAGGGGACUGAGAUACGGCCCUUACUCCUACGGGAGGCAGCAGUGGGGAAUAUUGGACAAUGGGGGCAACCCUGAUCCAGCAAUUCUGUGUGCGCGAAGACGGUUUUCGGAUUGUAAAGUGCUUUCAGCAGGGAAGAAGGAAGUGACGGUACCUGCAGAAGAAGCGACGGCUAAAUACGUG
rnacentral:rRNA from 1 species